rnacentral:rRNA from 1 species
GGCGGCAGGCUUAACACAUGCAAGUCGAGCGGGCGUAGCAAUACGUCAGCGGCAGACGGGUGAGUAACGCGUGGGAACGUACCUUUUGGUUCGGAACAACUGAGGGAAACUUCAGCUAAUACCGGAUAAGCCCUAACGGGGAAAGAUUUAUCGCCGAAAGAUCGGCCCGCGUCUGAUUAGCUAGUUGGUGAGGUAACGGCUCACCAAGGCGACGAUCAGUAGCUGGUCUGAGAGGAUGAUCAGCCACACUGGGACUGAGACACGGCCCAGACUCCUACGGGAGGCAGCAGUGGGGAAUAUUGGACAAUGGGGGCAACCCUGAUCCAGCCAUGCCGCGUGAGUGAUGAAGGCCCUAGGGUUGUAAAGCUCUUUUGUGCGGGAAGAUAAUGACGGUACCGCAAGAAUAAGCCCCGGCUAACUUCGUGCCAGCAGCCGCGGUA